GUGAGGAAUAUUGGUCAAUGGGCGGGAGCCUGAACCAGCCAAGUCGCGUGAAGGAAGAAGGAUCUAUGGUUCGUAAACUUCUUUUGCAGGGGAAUAAAGUGCAGGACGUGUCCUGUUUUGUAUGUACCCUGAGAAUAAGGAUCGGCUAACUCCGUGCCAGCAGCCGCGGUAAUACGGAGGAUCCGAGCGUUAUCCGGAUUUAUUGGGUUUAAAGGGUGCGUAGGUGGUUUGAUAAGUCAGCGGUGAAAGUUUGCAGCUUAACUGUAAAAAUGCCGUUGAAACUGUCGGACUUGAGUGUAAAUGAGGUAGGCGGAAUGCGUGGUGUAGCGGUGAAAUGCAUAGAUAUCAUGCAGAACUCCGAUUGCGAAGGCAGCUUACUAAGCUACAACUGACACUGAAGCACGAAAGCGUGGGGAUCAAACAGGAUUAGAUACCCCUGUAGUCC
rnacentral:rRNA from 1 species